ensembl:lncRNA
CUUCAGUGUCACACAAUCCUUCAGAAUUCAUUUAAAUAUGCAGAUUUGGUGCUCAAGAAAUAAUUUUUCUUAUUAUUUAUGUUGAAAAAAAGUUGUGGUGCUUCAUAUUUUUGUGGAAUCUGUCGUUCAGUUUCUUUCAGGAUUCAUUGAUGAAUACAAAGUUCAUAAGAGAAGCAUUUAUUUGCAAUAGAAUUUUUUUGAGUCUUUACUGUAACCCUUGAUCAAUUGAUUGCAUCCAUGCUAAAUGAAAGUGUUAAUUUAAUCAAAUUAAAUUAAAUUAAAUUUAUGCAUUUAACAGACGCUUUUAUCCAAAGCGACUUACAGUGCAUUCAGGCUAUCAAUUUUUACCUAUCAUGUGUUCCCGGGGAAUUGAACCCCCAACCUUGCGCUUGUUAACGCAAUGCUCUACCACUUGAGCUACAGGAGCACAUUAAAAAAAAUAAUAAUAAUUUUAUAAAAAACUUACUGAACCCAAACUUGUGAACAGUAGUGUAUAUAUGCAUAUAUAGUUUUUAUAGUUUUAAAUGCAAUAUUUUGGUGCAAUAAUUUGAUUGGAAAUUGAAAUACCUCAGGGGUCACUGUAUGCAUGCAUACGCAUAUUCUUGUGCCAUCUGCAUCUAUUUUUUUUACCAUUGUGUUCUGCUGGCUUUGCUUUUAUUGACAGAAAUAUACGCAAGACAGCUCUCCGGCAGUCUGACUCUUCCAGUCCAGAAACUGGCUACAGGCGUAGUGAUACAGGCCCAAAUAUGCGUCACAAACGAGGAUGGAGUCAACGGCGUCUGCCAUCAAUGGAUGCUGAAGAUUUUGAGACCAUUCCAUCAAGUGCCGAAGAACUCUCCAUAUCCUCAGAUGGAGAGGAUGAAGGAAAUAACAAAAAUGGGGAUAAUGGUCGCUAUCAAGUGCAGCUUACGUACGAGUCAGGGACCACCCAGGAUCUUUCUGUCGAAGCGGGAGAUUUAGUACAGUUCCUAGAAGAGUCGGAGAAUGGCCACUGAUAUUUUCAGUGAGCUCUGCACCGCUGCCCUCACCGAUACAGAGGAGGCAGACGACAGCACCGGGCCGCGUCCCGCUCAGGACGGCAGAUUUGCAUGCUGAACAUGCUGCGAUGUGUCCUCGCUUUCCAUAGCAUCACGCUUUACAUCAUACUCGACAACAGCUCGAUAUUCUAUUCUUUGUAAUACUACACAGACAUCUGCUCUGCCGAAGGAGCAGGUGAACUGACCGAUCAGAAUGGAUUCCAGUCAUUUCUGGCCUUUUCCAGCGCUGACGUGACAUUGACAAUAUUCUGUAGUUGUGAGUCAGAAAUUGAGAAGCAGCAACUGCAGGGGUUUUGAAAAGAAGUAUCUCUGUGAACACCGGACGCUGAUAUCUGCACCGAGGUUGCUAUUUGAAAACACUGAGAGGAAGAGACUCUAGACCAUUCUGUCCUGCUGAGACUUUCACUGAAAUGUUUUAAAGGGAUAGUUCACCCCAAAAAAUGAAAAUGUUGUUAUAAUUUACUCACCCUCAAGUUGUUCCAAACCUGUAUGAAUUUCAUUCUUCUGUCGAACACAAAAGAAGAUGUUUUGAAGAAUGUUGCUAACUAAGCCAUUGCUGGUACGAAGCUUUACUAUGAAAGUCAAUGGCUGCCUUUUUGGGGUGAACUAUCCCUUUAAAUAUACUUGAUUGUUUUUUUGUUUUGUUUUUUUAAUAGCUUGUUUGCUUAUGAGACUGUUGGUCAGGAACACAGCACUUUUAAAGAUUUAAUAUUCUCUAGUGUAAUGUACAAUAUUUAUACUCUCUUUUAUAUUCAGACAUGAAAGUUGUAUAAGCAAUCUGUAAAGCUUCGUUCCUCUGCUGUUUGUAGAGCUGAAUAUCUUUCAUCCUCUUCAAAUAUUUGUGUCUACUUGAUAUAUUCAUCUCUAUCAUGGUCUACUUGUACAAAAAUAAUCUCGAAAGGUAAUAAAAAUGUGGACUGUUUACUCUGGAGAUGUUUUUAAAUGUAUUUCAGAAAAUGUGAUCGCUGUAGCAUAAAUAUUCCAGCUGUACUGUAAAAGCAUCUGACACUAUUAUUUUACAGUAUUGCUCAUGGAUGUUGUCAGUUUGUGAUGAAAAGAAUACAGAAAUCAGAUGUACUGUAUCCUUCUGGCUUUGACAUGAAGAACUGGAUGACAGUUUGACAGUGAAUGUAGUAAUGAUGCCAAAUGUUUUGUCUCAUAACUGCCAAUAUACACUUACGAUUGUUAUUUAAAGUUGGUGUAGUUCAAUAACUUUCCAAAAUCAACCCGAGUUUCUUUAUUUGUUUGUAUGUACAUUUCUAAGCACAACGAUUGAUAGUGAAUGCAGAUGUGAUUCUUGGUAGUAUCAUCAUUCUGUUCAUAUGUAUGUGAAUAUUUUGCUUUUCACAACUUCCUUAUGGGCAAUAUUACAGCUGAUGUGAAUAUGUAUUACAUAACUAUGUACAUUUCCAAAUGCACAAUGAAAUACAUUCAUUACAAAACAAUGUCUAUGACUUUGCAUAUGAGACUAUUAAACCUCAACCAAAUCUCAGCCAAAAACAAGUUAGAAAUGUCAUGAAAAUGUAAUAUAAUUUUUAAAAUCUUGUCUACGGUUCCUCUUGAGAACCUUCCAUUUGAAAACUGUGGCCCAUCAGGCUAUUUUUGGUUGUAAUUAGAAGCUCUUUAAAGUGCACAUCUGAAAGGAGGACAGCAAAGAGAGAGAGGGCCAGGCUAGAUUCACUGGGCUUUGUUCUACAGAUGGUGUCUUUCAAAUUCCCAAAGACUCAUGAGGGGCGACAGGACAGUAAAGAAGAAGAGAAGGAAAGAGAGUGGAGAGAGCAGGACACAAAGACAGAGAGAUGUGACAAGCAUUGAAACUGAAUUUUAAAAAAAAGUGCACUCAAGCUGCCUUAACCUUGUCCUUCAGUUUGGCUUCAUGUGUGUAACGAUUUUGAAGACACCUGGCAGUCUAUUUAUCAUGAGUCAUUUCCCUCUGAAUGCAGGCUGGCCAGAAUGAAGAACGAAGGAGACUUCUCUGAGUUUUGGAUGAGCGGAGGGCAGGCUGUGUCUAAUUGCUCGGUUUUAAAGUUAGUUAAUGGGACAGUGCAGGAUGAUGGGGUUUCUUUUUUUUUCUUUUUUCUUUUUUUUAAUAACACAGCUUUAGGACAUUUCAGAUUUAAGAUGUCACUGAAAAGGAAAGAAACUACAUUUCAUAAUUUAAUCAUCCAUUCACUUGUUCAAUAAAACAUUGCCUUUAUUUAGUUUGAUUCACACCUUAUCAUAAUCUACC